rnacentral:rRNA from 1 species
AAAUGAAUUGACGGGGGCCCGCACAAGCGGUGGAGCAUGUUGGUUAAUUGGAUGAUACGCCAAGAACCUUACCAGGGCUUGACAUGUUUUUGACAGCCUAUGAAAGUAGGUUUUCUACUUCGGUAGACAGAAUCACAGGUGGUGCAUGGUUGUCGACAGCUCGUGUCGUGAGAUGUUGGGUUAAGUCCCGCAACGAGCGCAACCCUCACCGAAUGUUGCCAGCGGAUAAUGCCGGGGACUCUUUCGGGACUGCCCGAGUAAUCGGGAGGAAGGGGGGGACGACGUCAAAUCGGCAUGCCCCUUAUGUCCUGGGCUGCAAACGUGCUACAAUGGCCGAUACAGAGGGAAGCCAAGCCGCGAGGUGGAGCUAAUCCUCAAAGUCGGUCCCAGUUCGGAUUGGAUGUCUGCAACUCGACUCCAUGAAGUUGGAAUCGCUAGUAACCGCGGAUCAGCAAUGCCGCGGUGAAUACGUUCCCGGGCCUUGUACACACCGCCCGU